GCUGUCCUGAGGACACCGCUCCCCUGCAGCCCCCACCAGGCCUCAUGCCACUGGCCCUGAGGCCGGGAAUGGGAGAUCCUCUUGCCUCUCUCCUUUCUGACUUGCUGCAUCCUCCAGCAUCUUUGAAUCUCAGGUCUUCUGGCAGGCCCUUCCACACCUCUACUCAUUGCAGUUUUCCCCAGCUCUUGGAACACACCCCACGAGAUGAUUCUAGCUGCUAGCUCGCUGUCACUCUCUCCAACCCUACUCUUGCCUUAAUUCUUGGGGAUUUCAACAUCCACAAAGAUGAUCCUCUCAAAGUCUUAGCUUCUCAGUUCCUGUCUUCUCAUCCAGGGAUCCUGUUCCCAACCCAACCUCGGCUACUCCCUUUCAGAGUCAUAUCCCCAUUUUGCAUUUUCAACAACAACCCCUCCCUAAUCUUAAUCCCAAGCAUUCUGUCCUCCAACACCACCUCCUAUCUUUCUAUCUGUAGGGGCAGUAAGGGGUGAUACCUUUCCUCACUCAUGAUAAGGGACAUGGUCAACACUGCUAUAACAAAGGACAGGUUAUCAAGAGAAAAGCAUAACAAACUUACUUAAUCACAUUUUUCUGUGACAGAGGAGGCUUCAGAAAUGAAGACCCAAAGACCUAGGAAAAACCUUCUGUGUUUAAGCUUAGAGUCUGUGAAGAACGGAUAGCCAUGUAAAAGUGUGAUUAGACAAAAAGGUAUGAUCUAAUGGUAAUAGACUGAGGGGGAAACCCAGCAAGGCCUGUGUUUUCAGAUGCUUGGUCUCUCUGUGUAGCAUUCCCUCCUCUAUGGAAUAGGACAGAACAUCUCUUACAUGAAGGUCUUCAAGGGAGAAGGGAGAGAGUGACCAAUAUAUUCUUAUUCUUCAUCACCUCUGCAUAACACGCUUGGUUGACACAGAGCAUAGAGAUUUUCCAUAGUCUCUGGCAGAGGCUGGAAUUAGAACAAAAGCCACCCCACUUGGGGCCUUUGCAGCCAGAGGCAAAUGGCUGAGCUGCAGGCUUCAAGUAUACACCUUUUAGAUUGUAUGGCUUGAUUUUGGAGAGAGGGGUUCUAGUUGCUAUGGUCAGCUUUGGAGAACAGGAGUUCUGGUUUCUAUGACUCAAUUAGGGAGAGAGGGGUGAGACACAGGAGGGCAGGAGAAGGUCAGAGGGACCUUGCCUCUGAAACUCUACAGUCUCUUUCAGUUCAAAAUACUCAGCAUGCUAAGGUGCCAUACUUAGCAGUAUCACAAUCUGUGCCCCAACACAUCUCAUUCUUUCCAGUACCUCACUGAGCUGAUAAUUCAUCUACCCUACUGCCUUUUAACUGUCUCUCAGCCCCUCUUCUCCUCACUGCUCUCUUUAUCCAGUUUAAAUCCCACGGUCAACCUCAGCUCUCUGCCUACUGUGCCUGUGCCCACACAGCUGAAGAAGUCCAGAGAAAACACACAAGGCUUCAAGGAAUUGAAUGGCUUCAUGUUGACUGACGUUACACUGGUAGCUUGAGCUCAGCAGUGGUGAGCAUAUUUAUACCGCAGGAAUCAGCAGACACUUCAAGUCAAAUGCUUUUUAAUUGGAUAGUUUUCACAUUUAUAGAAAAGUGAGGUUUCGUUGUGUUGGCCGGGCUGGUCUCCAGCUCCUAACCGCGAGUGAUCCGCCAGCCUCGG
rnacentral:lncRNA from 10 species